UCAGCAGCCGCGGUAAUACGGAGGAUGCAAGCGUUGUCCGGAUUCAUUGGGUUUAAAGGGUGCGUAGGCGGAAAAUUAAGUCAGUGGUGAAAGCUUACAGCUUAACUGUAAAAAUGCCAUUGAAACUGAUUUUCUUGAGUUCGAUUGAGGUAGAUGGAAUGUAUCAUGUAGCGGUGAAAUGCUUAGAUAUGAUACAGAACACCAAUUGCGAAGGCAGUCUACUAAGUCGAUACUGACGCUGAGGCACGAAAGCAUGGGGAGCAAACAGGAUUAGAUACCCUGGUAGUCCAUGCCCUAAACGUUGAUUACUCGUUGUUGGCGAUACACUGUCAGCGACUAAGCGAAAGCGUUAAGUAAUCCACCUGGGGAGUACGAUCGCAAGGUUGAAACUCAAAGGAAUUGACGGGGGCCCGCACA
rnacentral:rRNA from 1 species